rnacentral:pre_miRNA from 1 species
AGUGGGAUAACUGGAUCAAAUGGUGGUUCCAUUUCAAGCUUUUUGAGGAAUCUCCAUACUACUUCUCAUAGUGGUUGCACCAAUUUGCAGUCCCACCAGCAAU